UACGGAGGAGGCAAGCGUUAUCCGGAAUUAUUGGGCGUAAAGCGUCCGCAGGUGGCUAUUCAAGUCUGCGGUCAAAGACUAGGGCUUAACCCUAGAAAGGCCGUGGAAACUGAACAGCUAGAGUGCAGUAGGGGUAGAGGGAAUUCCCGGUGUAGCGGUGAAAUGCGUAGAGCUCGGGAAGAACAUCGGUGGCGAAAGCGCUCUGCUGGACUGCAACUGACACUCAGGGACGAAAGCUAGGGGAGCGAAGGGG
rnacentral:rRNA from 1 species